CUGGAUUUUUGGGUACUCAACCUUCUGCGAUGCCCCUGGACACAUGGUCCUGCUGAGUUGCUGAAGCUAGCCUCCAAUUUGAGAUCCUCCUGCCUUAUCCUCCCAAGUAGCUGGGAUUAUAGGAAUGAACCUCUGGGUCAAGCUUUGGGAGCUCUACAGGCAAAUUGGAUCAAGUCUGAUGAAAAUUCUUCAAUGUCUCACCAUUGCAGACAGGUUGCAAUGGGAAUGUCUUUCCCUGGGACUCAUACCCCUUUAUGAUCUGGUCCUUGCCUACUUAUCUUACCUCCCUGUACCUGUUUCCCCCUAAGUUUUUGACUCAGGAAUGCUGACCUACUUGUCUCUGUGGCUCUCAUAGUUCUUUGCCUCUGCUGGAAAUGCACCCGUUCCCUGUUCAAUCUGCCAGGAGAAUUGCUACUCAUUCCCAGUCCUUCCUCUGUAAAGCUUUUCCCUGGCUUCCCAUUUAGGUGCCACUUUUCUUAGGUUCCAUCCUUACCCUGCACAAAUCUCUGUUACAGUAACAAUCAUAUAACUGCUUCUGCUUUUCCCUACCAGAUGGUAGGAAUUUCUGUCUCAUCAUUGUAUCCCUGUGCCUGGUACAGUGGCUGGUAAAUAAGAGUUUUGGUGUCCUUGAAGGUAGUUUGAACCAGAGAAUAGUUCAUUUGGGAAUUUCCUUUGUUUUAAAAAUUACCGUUUAUUUUUAUUCCAUAUUAAAAAAACCUCAAGGGGAAUUACAAGGUGGAGCUCAGUGGUGGAGUGCUUGCCUCGCAUACACAGGACCUGGGUUUGGUUCCCAGGACAUAAACAAGAAAAAGAAAAAAAAAUCAAGUGAUUCAUUUUAAGGUCAAUUUAGAAAUAUUAUUGUUCUAUGAAUAAAUCUAGCAAAUGUCAACAUUAAAAUUUUUUUUUUAGUUUAGUUGGACACAAUACCUUUAUUUUAUUUAAUUUUUAUGUGGUGCUGAGGAUUGAACCCAGGGCCUCACAUGUGCUAGGCAAGUGCUCCACCAAUGAGCCACAUUCCCAGCCUACAAAUGUCAACAUUUUAAGGGGUCCUUUGAGUAAUAUUUGGUCCUAUUUACAAGUGUAAACAUUUACAUAUUUGAACCUGAAAUUAUAACCAUUAAAUAUGUUGUAUUUCAUAUGCCUGAUUGUAAAAUCUUCCUAAAUGUUUAAUUCUUACAAAUCUGAUCAUUAAACAUGAUUAUAUGGCUGGCCUUAAUUAUUUUUAAAUUAAUUAUAAUUCUUUUCAAAUGACAAAAUAUUUGAAUUUUUUUAUGGGGUACAGUGUUAUGGUUCAAUACAUCUUUAUAAUGUCUAAUAAUCAAAUUAGAGUAAUUGGCAUUUCUAGCUCCUUGAACAUUGAUUGCCAUUUUUGUUGCUGGGAAACUUCCAAUUCUUCCCUAAAUAUUUAGAAAUGUAUAAUGAAUUGUUAUAGACUAAGUUACUCUACAAUAGAAUUAAUUCCCUCAUCUAUCCGUAUUUUAGUACCUUUCAUCCAACCUUUCCCUGUCCCCUCCAUCCCUACUCUUCCCAACUUCUAGUGACCUCUAUUCUACUGUCUACUUCUAUGUGACUGAGACUUUUAGCUUCCACAAAUAAAUAAGAACAUGUUGUACUUGUC